CGUGUAGGCGGUUCGUUAAGUCGGGUGUGAAAGCCCGGGGCUCAGCUCCGGAAGUGCGCCCGAAACUGGCGAGCUGGAGCGCGGUAGAGGAGGGUGGAAUUCCUGGUGUAGCGGUGAAAUGCGUAGAUAUCAGGAGGAACACCGGCGGCGAAGGCGGCCCUCUGGACCGUUGCUGACGCUGAGACGCGAAAGCGUGGGGAGCAAACAGGAUUAGAUACCCUGGUAGUCCACGCUGUAAACGACGGGUACUAGGUGUUCAGGGUGUUGACCCCCUGAGUGCCGACGCUAACGCAUUAAGUACCCCGCCUGGGGACUACGGCCGCAAGGUUAAA
rnacentral:rRNA from 1 species